rnacentral:ncRNA from 12 species
AUAUGUUGAAAGUAGAUGCUGUAUUGCUAUCAGUAUUUAUUCGAGUAUUCAAAGGUAUGCUUAAUCCUAAAGCAGUGUAGCGAAAAAACGUGAAAGAAAAACACUUGUA